rnacentral:rRNA from 1 species
AUUGAACGCUGGCGACCGGCCUAACACAUGCAAGUCGAACGAGUGGCGGACGGGUGAGUAAUGUCUGGGAAACUGCCUGAUGGAGGGGGAUAACUACUGGAAACGGUAGCUAAUACCGCAUACCAUCGGAUGUGCCCAGAUGGGAUUAGCUAGUAGGUGGGGUAAAGGCUCACCUAGGCGACGAUCCCUAGCUGGUCUGAGAGGAUGACCAGCCACACUGGAACUGAGACACGGUCCAGACUCCGACGGUAGGCAGAAGUGGGGAAUAUUGGACAAUGGGCGCAAGCCUGAUCCAGCCAUACCGCGUGGGUGAAGAAGGCCUUCGGGUUGUAAAGCACUUUAAGUUGGGAGGCGUUACCAACAGAAUAAGCACCGGCUAACUUCGUGCCAGCAGCCGCGGUAAUAC